rnacentral:rRNA from 1 species
UACGGGGGGGCAAGCGUUGUUCGGAAUUACUGGGCGUAAAGGGUUCGUAGGUGGCCGACUAAGUCAGACGUGAAAUCCCUCAGCUUAACUGGGGAACUGCGUCUGAUACUGGUUGGCUUGAGGACAGGAGAGGAACGCGGAAUUCCAGGUGUAGCGGUGAAAUGCGUAGAUAUCUGGAGGAACACCGGUGGCGAAGGCGGCGUUCUGGACUGUUUCUGACACUGAGGAACGAAAGCCAGGGGAGCAAACGGGAUUAGAUACCCCGGUAGUCCUGGCCCUAAACGAUGAAUGCUUGGUGUGAUGGGUAUCGAUCCCUGUCGUGCCGCAGUUAACGCGUUAAGCAUUCCGCCUGGGGAGUACGGUCGCAAGGCUGAA